GACGAACGCUGGCGGCGUGCUUAACACAUGAAAGUCGAACGGAAAGGCCCUGCUUUUGUGGGGUGCUCGAGUGGCGAACGGGUGAGUAACACGUGAGUAACCUGCCCUUGACUUUGGGAUAACUUCAGGAAACUGGGGCUAAUACCGGAUAGGAGCUCCUGCUGCAUGGUGGGGGUUGGAAAGUUUCGGCGGUUGGGGAUGGACUCGCGGCUUAUCAGCUUGUUGGUGGGGUAGUGGCUUACCAAGGCUUUGACGGGUAGCCGGCCUGAGAGGGUGACCGGCCACAUUGGGACGGAGAUACGGCCCAGACUCCUACGGGAGGCAGCAGUGGGGAAUAUUGCACAAUGGGCGGAAGCCUGAUGCAGCAACGCCGCGUGCGGGAUGACGGCCUUCGGGUUGUAAACCGCUUUAGCCUGUGACGAAGCGUGAGUGACGGUAAUGGGUAAAGAAGCACCGGCUAACUACGUG
rnacentral:rRNA from 1 species